AUGACCUCCCCAUGGCAGCUCCUCUGGCUGCUGGUGCUCUGGGCUCAGGGUAAGACCCAGCAGGGAGCUGUUGUGCUGACUCAGUCUCCAGCCUCCUUGUCUGUGUCUCCAGGAGAGAGAGUCACCCUCAGCUGCAAGACCAGUCAGAGUGUUAUAUAUAGUGGUUAUAACUACCUUCAUUGGUAUCAGCAGAAACCUGGCCAAGCCCCCAGCCUCCUCAUCUACCUUGCUAACAGGCUGGCAUCUGGAGUGCCCGCCCGCUUCAGUGGCAGUGGGUCUGGGACAGAUUUCACUCUCACCAUCAACAGCUUGGAGCCCAAGGAUGCUGGAGAUUAUUACUGUCAGCAGAGUAAUUACUGGCCUCCCACAUUGCUUCAGGCCUGA